UUUAAAAACAGAUGUUUUAAUAAUACUCCUGUGAAUCAUCAUGUAUUCAAGGAGCUGUAUUGAUGCAAGUUGUUUUAAAUAGUUAACGUUUCCCAUUGAGAAGGGGUUGGCUUGGUGAUCUUGAGUCAAAGGCACUACCCAGUUUUUUUUUCUUUGAAGUGGUCUCCAUUCAGCAGAAUGAUCCAAGUGAUUUUUUUUCUUUGUUUUCUUCAGAUAAACAGAUAUGACUGCUUACACUGCAUGACUAUCCAGUAGAUGCUGUCUAGAGCUUAGGAACAUUGCAAUGCCUUUUGCAUUCCAUGCCCUGUGCCCCUCCACUGACACAAGUUGGGAGGGAUGAAGAAAAAUGAGCAGAUUAAGGAAAAAGUUGGACUUCUACUACCCCUUUGUGGAAAAAGUGCUUCCUGCUAUCAACCCAAGCAGCUAUCAAAGCUAAUACAACACUUUUAAACAGGUCGAAAGUUCGAUAAACACCGUAAGAUCACUGGAUUCACUGUUUUUGGAGGGGCAGAGAACACCGGAGUAUAAAUAAAAUUGAAGCAAGAUUACAA